UGCGUAGGUGGCGCCAUAAGUCAGGUGUGAAAUCUCGGGGCUUAACUCCGAAACUGCAUUUGAUACUGUGGUGCUUGAGGACUGGAGAGGAGACUGGAAUUCACGGUGUAGCAGUGAAAUGCGUAGAUAUCGUGAGGAAGACCAGUGGCGAAGGCGGGUCUCUGGACAGUUCCUGACACUGAGGCACGAAGGCCAGGGGAGCAAACG
rnacentral:rRNA from 1 species